rnacentral:rRNA from 2 species
GACAGAGGCCCCGAGCGUUAAUCGGAAUCACUGGGCUUAAAGGGUGCGUAGGCCGGCCCGCAAGUGCUUCGUGAAAGCCCACGGCUCAACCGUGGAACAGCGGGGCAUACUGCGGGUCUUGAGGCAGGUAGGGGUCGCGAGAACAGUAGGUGGAGCGGUGAAAUGCGUAGAUAUCUACUGGAAUGCCGAUGGUGAAGACGCGCGACUGGGCCUGUCCUGACGCUGAGGCACGAAAGCGUGGGGAGCAAACAGG